CCGAAAGGCGCCGAAUGAAACGUUUAUUUGGUUUACAUUUUACCGUAAAAACUAUAAUACUGCAGAUAUGGCUGACUUCGGUUUUUUUCCCCGGUAAUCUCGUCGUACCUAUUUAAAGAGAGGGGGGAAGAAUUCGAAAAACCAAAACGGGCACUCGGGGUAUUCGGCGAAAAAUCGCGAUGGCUUUCACCGUGAUGACCGCUCCUUACGG